UUUGAAGCGCUCGGCGCUCCCGCUGGAUCCCCCCACCACGGCGCCAAAGUGGUAGCUCCUGCACUGAGGGAAGGGGCUUCCCGGCUGCAACUUCGGCCGCAGGCCAAGGACCCGGGUGCCCCCAACAGCUCCUCCGGCGUCGGGAGCGGGGAAGAUCCGUCUUUCUUGGAUAAAUUUGGGAAACAAUGACCAGCUUGAGUCAACUAACUGCUGCUUCGGGAACAAUCUCCUUUUUUGCUGCAGAGUUUUGCACACACACCCCCUCAAGCCCCGAGAUGUUGACAGCAAAAUUCCCUUCAUCACCCAGCACAGGUGUCUGCUCUAGGAAAACAGGCUGAUUGCUCCCUGCUUUCUACCAUCUCUAGACCUGGGACACUCAUAGAGAUGUUUACUGUGGCCCUUGGAUGACUGUGAAAGGGUACACGACUAACAGUUACACUAGGACAACAGGCACAAACCAGGACGUCCCAAGAUGUAAGGUCACCGUACACUUGGCACACUAUAUAUAACAUAUUUGUUUACAAGUUGUCUGGACCAUAAGCUUCUAAAUGUCAGGGACCACACUGCUUUUAUGAUUUAUUUCUGUUCCCCUAGAAAUCAGGACAGGGUCACACAUUCAGUAGGGUGUUCAAUAAAUGUGCAGAAAAGGAAUAUUCUAGUUUAUAAACAGACCUUGUAAGUUUGGCUAGGGUGACAUAAAUUCCUAAAGCUUGACUCUUCCUGGGGAAGAGUUUGAAAUUUUGAACCAGCACAGAACGGACACCAGACCAGUGAUGGCCCCAGCAGGACAAAGCCUGGUCUUUAUAGAAAUGUCUUGAAAUUGGAGAAGCAAAUGCCCAGAUUUCGGAAAAUCAGUCAUCUGCAAGUUCCUGGACUUCCUGGGAACAACAAGAAAGCUGCGUGGAGAAGGGAGCUGGCUGCUCCCCCAGAGGGUAAAGAAGCAGAACUGGAACUAGCGUCCUUAUCUCUCACUCAGUAAGUCUGGGAGCUGUGAGCAAUCCAAGCCCAGCAGGGCCCCUCUUACAACAUAAGGAAGAGGAAACUGCUACAGAAGCACAGAAGAAAACGUGCUUCCGACAGCCAGUGAAAUAAGACAGCUAUGUGUCUGAGAAGAUGUGAUGGAGGGGGGCGGUGGGGCCAGGAUGGCGCUAGGGGAUCACAGCAAGAUCAAGUCACCAGAAGAAAACAGUGAAGGUCAGGCGGUCAGGCAGACCCACCAACAACAUAUCUGUGUUCUUUAGCAGGUUAAGAAGUUGGUGAGGAGUUCCUGCUGUGGCACAACAGGAUCAGCAGCAUCGUGGGAGCCCUGGGAUGCAGGUUCGAUCCCCAGCCCGGCACAGUGGGUUAAGGAUCUGGUGCUGCCACAGCUGUGCCUUAGGUCUUCACUGCUCCUCAGAUCUGAUCCCUGGCCUGGGAACUCCAUAUGCCGCAGGACAGCCAAAAAUGGAAAGAAAAAAAAAAAAAAAGAAAAAAAUUGGUAAGCAAAACAUACACCUAAUUCAAUUAAGAUGAAAAGCCAGGUUGAAGAUGUAACCAGAGGGGCUGGCAGCUCUGAAGGGCUGAGGAAAGGCACUGGUCUCUGCGGGAACUGACGGGACACAGGCAGCGAGGUUCCGGGGCCUCGGUGGGACCUCCACAGACCAUCUCCCCUCCCUGCCCUGCUUUUUGAGAGCCACUCUGGACACGGAAUGAGCUUCCAGAUUGGGGGUGGGGGGCACAUCUCCAUCAGCCUGACCUCUGAAUGUUCUCACUCACUGAGCUAGACAGCCUCAACCCUGAGCUGUUUUCUUCUCAAACGUUUAAGUGCAAAAGGCCUCUCAGAUGUCACCUUAACAGUACCUUGUAUAAUAAAUGUUCAUCUGAUCCCUACAUCAUUCUUUCCGGUAGAAGGACUGUUUCUCUCUCUCUCUCUCUCUCUCUCUCUCUCUCUCUCCUUUUUUUUUUUUUUUUUUUUUUUUUUUUGUCUUUUUAGGGCCUCGCCCAAGGCAUAUGGAGGUUCCCAGGCUAGGGGUCAAAUCAGAGCCACAGCUGCCAGCCUACACCACAGCUCACAGCAAUGCUGGAUAUUUAGCCCACUGAAAGAGGCCAAGGAUUGAACCCACAUCCUCAUGGAUACUAGUCGGGUUCGUUACCACUGAGCCACAAUGGGACCUCCCUGGCUUUCUCAUUCUCAACUGGUUGAGGAGGUAAGGAAAGCAGAAAGGACAGUCACCGGCCUGAAAUUGCAACCCAGCACUGAAUCUGGAGCCCUAGGUGCCUACCUGUCUGUACCCCUCGCUCUGUAUCAAACCAGAAGUAGAAAGCCCUUGCUGCAGCCACUCUGGGGUUGGAGGUUCCACUGGCUGGACCCUCCUCUUAGUCUGUUGCUGCUACUGCAGUCCUGGUGUCCCAUGUACCUGGCACAGGCUGCAACACCUGUCCAACACGACCUAGUCCAGCACAACUAGGAAUACCUCGCUCCACCCAUGAAGAACAGCCAUGACCAAUAGGGGCGUCUGAGAAUGUACGCAAAGACGUUCCCAUUACAGCCUUCCUGGCAAGAUGCAAUGUUAUCCUUUACCUGGAGGCUGUCCAUCACCCAGAGAAUUGCACUCUUCCCUCCAAAUAGGCCCUAAUCAGGGAAUGUGUACUAGGCAUUUACAUUGAACACUAUAUCCUAAAGAGAACCUCCUUUCUCAUUUUUUAAAAGGCAUUUACAUUGAACACUAUAUCCUAAAGAGAACCUCCUUUCUCAUUUUUUUUAGGUCCAUAGUUCACACUCUUUCAGAGCUCUAGGAAGAUGAAAAGGGAUCCAGAUUGCAUCCAUUAAAGGCUCGGUCAAGCUCCCCACCCAGGGACCUGCUUGAGGAACCUUGUCCAGGCUUUGCUCUGGUGAACAAUUCUCAUCAGAUCCACCCUCUCUCUCAUCUAUUUUGUUCUGCAUCAUAAAAGUAGACUUUAAUUUCCCCAGAAGGCACGUCAUUCAGCCUAGGUCACAGUCAGACCUAGAGGAAAACCGCCCCAUAGCAGCAUCAUCCCAUGUCAGCUUUCAGAGAAGUGGGCAAACAAACAAACAUACAUUAGAAUGCUUACACCAAACCAGUGUCACGUAAGAGCCUGUUCUAUGGGGUUUUUGUUCAUUCCCAGCAGAUAUUAUGACCCUAUGUUUACGGACUUUGUAAGAAAGUUCACUUUCACUCUCUCCCUAGGAUAUAUGAGCAUUAGAGAAACAGUUGCCAAGUAUACAAGAUAUAAACAGAAUUAGGUCAGCCUGUCCAUUCUACAUGAGGGAAAUAACCCCAAGCAUUGUCCCAAAUUCUUCCCACCAACUACCAUAGUUGAAAACAUGCACACCAAAAAUAAACACCAAAGAUCCGCUUAGAGCAGUGAACUAUCUUGAACUUUAGAAUUAUCUAUUCCAGUAGAUAAAGGUUGGUUUUUCCUGUUAAACAACAUUACUGCAAUCACAGAACGUGUUAAACAGACAAAUCAUCUUGUAAAAUUAUUGAUUUAA